UAAGGAAUAUUGGACAAUGGAGGCAACUCUGAUCCAGCCAUGCCGCGUGAAGGAAUAAGGCCCUAUGGGUUGUAAACUUCUUUUAGACGGGACAAAACCCCUUUACGUGUAAAGGGUUGAUGGUACUGUCAGAAUAAGCAUCGGCUAACUUCGUGCCAGCAGCCGCGGUAAUACGAAGGAUGCAAGCGUUAUCCGGAAUUAUUGGGUUUAAAGGGUGCGUAGGCGGACUAAUAAGUCAGUGGUGAAAGCCUGCAGCUUAACUGCAGAAUUGCCAUUGAUACUGUUAGUCUUGAGUACAGUUGAGGUAGGCGGAAUGUGUCAUGUAGCGGGGAAAUGCUUAGAUAUGACACAGAACACCGAUUGCGAAGGCAGCUUGCUAAGCUGUAACUGACGCUGAGGCACGAAAGCGUGGG
rnacentral:rRNA from 1 species